ACGCGAGCUGGGUUCAGAACGUCGUGAGACAGUUCGGUCCCUAUCCGUCGCAGGCGUAGGAAAUUUGAGAAGACCUGUCCUUAGUACGAGAGGACCGGGAUGGACGUACCUCUGGUGUACCAGUUGUCCUGCCAAGGGAAUGGCUGGGUAGCUAUGUACGGAAUGGAUAAGCGCUGAAAGCAUCUAAGCGCGAAGCCAACUUCAAGAUAAGAUUUCCCACCGCAAGGGUAAGACCCCAGAAAGACUAUCUGGUUGAUAGGUCGAAGGUGUAAGUGCAGCAAUGUAUUUAGCUUAUCGAUACUAAUAGGUCGAGGACUUGACCAAU
rnacentral:rRNA from 1 species